GUUCGGAUUGUGUUCUGCAACUCCACCCCAUGAAGUCGGAGUCGCUAGUAAUCGCACAUCAGCAUUGCUGCGGUGAAUACGUUCCCGGGCCUUGUACACACCGCCCGUCACGUCACGAAAGUCGGUAACACCCGAAGCCGGUGGCCCAACCCUUGUGGAGGGAGCCGUCCAAGGUGGGACUGGCGAUUGGGACGAAGUCGUAACAAGGUAGCCGUACCGGAAGGUGCGGUUGGAUCACCUCC
rnacentral:rRNA from 1 species